rnacentral:lncRNA from 13 species
GAUGCUCUCAAGUUAAAAAUAUAAAAACAUGUUUUUUAAAUUCUAUUCAUUGUUGGGAAGGGCCCAUAAGUAAGCAUUUCACUGUUAGUCUACACCUGUUGCUUCUGAAGCAUGUGACAAAUAACCUUUGAUUUGACUUGAGUUUUCCCAGUACUACUUUGAGGCGCCCAUCUUCACCAUCCCAGGACGCACUUUCCCAGUGGAGGUGCUCUACUGCAAAGAGCCGGAGACAGACCACCUGGAUACCAAUCUCAUCACCGUCAUGCAGGUCCUCAUGAGUGAGCCCCCAGGUGAUGUCCCGGUGUUUCUGGCAGGUCAGGAGGAGAUUGACACACCUUGAAUGAACGGAUGAAGUCACUGAGACCUGAAGGGCCUGAAAUCAUUAUCCUACUGGUCUACUCCGCCCUGCCCAGCGAGAUGCAGACCCGUAUCUUUGACCAUGCUCCCCCCUGCAGCAGAAAGGCUUUGUGAAGAAGAAUGUCUACAAUUCCAAGACUGGCAGCGACCAACUAGUGGUGACCCCCAUAUCCCAGGUAGGCUGAAUAGAUAUAUGCAGAUAUCAUUAUCAUGCAUGGAGAAGGAACACAAUUUUUUUUUUUUAAUGAUGAAUAUACUUUGUGUUUUUCCAAAGUAUUAAACUGAAAUCCAAUCAAAAUGAAUCGCUAUCUUUAUCUUUCUCAGGCCCAAGCUAAGCAGCAGUCUGGUAGAGCAGAAAGAACUAAUGCUACCGUCUGUUUACAGAGCGAGCAUACAGAGAUGAGGUGUUCACCAGCAAUGUGCCUGAGAUCCAGAUAACUAACCUGUCCAGCACCAUGCUGUCUCUCAAGGUACAUAACACAUACGAGAGCGAUUUACUCCAGACACCGAACAGGCCUUCAUCCCGGUCAUUCGCAGGAGUAAGAGACUGAUAUUUCGCGGAAGGAGGAUCAGGCGACGAGUGGCUAAUCUGCCUUUGCCAUCCGUAUUAUUAGCCAACGUACAAUCACUGGGAAAUUAAUGUGACGAACUAAAAGCACGUAUAUUCUACAAACGGGACAUUAAAAAUGUAACAUCUUAUGUUUCGCCGAGUCGUGGCAGAACAACUACAUGAA